GCCGGGUAGCUAUGUACGGAAGGGAUAACCGCUGAAAGCAUCUAAGCGGGAAGCCCACCCCAAGAUUAGGUUUCCCGGAUCUUCGGAUCCCUGAAGGGCCCUUGAAGACUACAAGGUUGAUAGGCUGGGUGUGGAAGCGCGGCAACGCGUGAAGCUAACCAGUACUAAUUGCCCGUGCGGCUUAAACCG
rnacentral:rRNA from 1 species